rnacentral:misc_RNA from 1 species
GAUGAAGAACGCAGCGAAAUGCGAUAAGUAAUGUGAAUUGCAGAGUUCCGUGAAUCAUCGAAUCUUUGAACGCACAUUGCGCCCCCUGGUAUUCCGGGGGGCAUGCCUGUCCGAGCGUCAUUGCAACCUUCAAGCGCGGCUUGUGUGUUGGGUCUCGUCCCCCGUGGACGGGCCCGAAAGGCAGUGGCGGCGUCCCGACAUGGUGCCCGAGCGUAUGGGAAUCCUCUUCCGCUCGAAUCGGCCCAUGCGGCGCUGGUCGUAACCAAAUUUUUUACCGGUUGACCUCGGAUCAGGUAGGGAUACCCGCUGAACUUAAGCAUAUCAAUAAGCGGAGGA